UUCACCAACUUUAGCCCAGGGCC
rnacentral:snRNA from 1 species